AACGAACGUUAGCGGCGCGCUUAAUACAUGCAAGUCGUGCGAGAAAGGGCUUCGGCCCCGGUAAAGCGGCGCACGGGUGAGUAACACGUAGGUCAUCUCCCCUCGAGUGGUGGAUAACCCUCCGAAAGGAGGGCUAAUACAGCAUGAGACCACGGCUUCGUUGAAGCUGUGGCCAAAGUAGGCCUCUCCACGGAAGCUUACGCUUGAGGAUGAGCCUGCGGCCCAUCAGCUAGUUGGUAGGGUAACGGCCUACCAAGGCUAAGACGGGUAGCUGGUCUGAGAGGAUGAACAGCCACACUGGAACUGAGACACGGUCCAGACUCCUACGGGAGGCAGCAGUAGGGAAUCUUGCGCAAUGGGCGAAAGCCUGACGCAGCGACGCCGCGUGAGCGAUGAAGGCCUUCGGGUUGUAAAGCUCUGUGGGGAGGGAAGAAUAAGGUCCACCUAAUACGUGGAUCGAUGACGGUACCUCCUUAGCAAGCACCGGCUAACUCUGUGCCAGCAGCCGCGGUAAGACAGAGGGUGCAAACGUUGUUCGGAAUUACUGGGCGUAAAGCGCGUGUAGGCGGCUUUGCAAGUCGGGCGUGAAAUCCCAUGGCUCAACCAUGGAAGUGCACUCGAAACUGCAGAGCUAGAGUCCUGGAGAGGAAGGUGGAAUGCUUGGUGUAGAGGUGAAAUUCGUAGAUAUCAAGCGGAACACCGGUGGCGAAGGCGGCCUUCUGGACAGUGACUGACGCUGAGACGCGAAAGCGUGGGGAGCAAACAGGAUUAGAUACCCUGG
rnacentral:rRNA from 1 species